GUGGGUGUCGUCCUAUUAGGGAGUUGUCUGAAUAGAUCCGAGUAGCAGGACCGGGACAGACCGGAGCAGAGAGGAACAUCAGAGGGUCACCGAGCCGCCGUCUGCCCGCGACUUUAAUCCAACGUUACUGAUAAAACACUUUAUUCAGGUUAAAACCCGGAAGUUAGCUCAGUUAGCUGCUAACGGCUAGUCAGCCUACCUGCUCAAAGGGAAGUGACGGUGCAGGUGAAGUCGGGCUCGAGCCGCAGGUUUGCUUUCAUCUCUGUACUCAGACAGCAGAAGAAGAUGAGUGGAGGACUGAACAGCAUCGAUGCUGUGAA